CCCUGGACCUCUCGCAGCCUAAGUGAGAAUCAUACCCCUAGACCCAGGACCGCCAUCAGAAAUUGAGGGGCCCCUAACCUAGCUCAAGGUCUUGGCACUGACGUACAUACAUACUGAUACACACACAUACGUACAGACAUACAUACAUACUGACAAACUGACAUACAUACACACACAUAAAUACAUACUGACAUAAUGGCAUACACACACACAC